rnacentral:rRNA from 1 species
CAGCCGCCACGGGAAUACGUAGGUGGCAAGCGUUGUCCGGAAGUAUUGGGCGUAAAGGGCUCGCAGGCGGUUUCUUAAGUCUGAUGUGAAAGCCCCCGGCUCAACCGGGGAGGGUCAUUGGAAACUGGGAAACUCGAGUGCAGAAGAGGAGAGUGGAAUUCCACGUGUAGCGGUGAAAUGCGUAGAGAUGUGGAGGAACACCUGUGGCGAAGGCGACUCUCUGGUCUGUAACUGACGCUGAGGAGCGAAAGCGUGGGGAGCGAACAGGAUUAGAUACCCGAGUAGUCCCUGUCUCUUAUAA